UUGACAUGUAAUUUGUCCUGCUGCCUGUUGGAACGUUCUUUUUCAGAUGCUGGAGGAGCAUGACAGAGGAGAGGUGGAGGAGAGUCCUGCUCCUCGCUUAGCUCAGCACAGCGAGUCCCCUGGCUUCAGCUUCCCUCCUGAGCACCUGACGGUUGUCGGUUUACUGUGACUCACUGCCAUUCUAUCUGCCUGGGCUUAUGUUUCCAGCAUCUCACCAGAGCUGUUGUGACCCAUCUCCUGGGCAAAGCCUUCCACGGAGAGGCUGCCGGGCCAGCAGGAGAGGAGACCCAAUCCAUCCAUCAGCAUUUGAAUAAUUCCAUCCACACAUACUUCUCUUCCAAACACCCGGGCUAUUUUCCUUUCCCUGAGCCAUGCAAGCCCAAGGAGCCAGCAGGGUUGCGUGCUCUCAGGAGUAGGACACGUCACAUCAACUUGAGUGCUCCAGGAGCCCUGCCACAAUGGUUUCUUUGUGAGAUCAUCUUUGCAGCGGUUUCCUGAAGCUCUGGCCUCCUUCCUGGUAUCUUCACACAUUCUAGGUGUUUCAAUUCAGUAAAAACAUAAGGGCCUUUUGACUGCUCACUCCUGCACUUCACACUGGGAAGGACACAGAAGUCCCCAGAGAGUGCCCUGGACGACAAAAUGUAGUUCAGAGGUAUCUAAGGUGGGUUCCACCCAAAAGGGUCCCACAAAGAAAGAAUUCCAGGGCCAAUUAAAUUUGGGGAUCUGCAUAGUCCAUCUCUCUCUUGGUGAUUCAAAACAUAUAUUUAUAUAUAUUAAAGGUUCUGAGAAGUCCUGUAAGUAAAUCCUGUUCCACUUUUUAACCCACCAUCUCCCAAACCCAGCAUGAUACUGAUAUCAGCAUGCUACUCUUUUCAUAUAACACCUACUUAUAUAUGAAGGAACUAAUUGAGGUCUUUUGAGAUAUAUUUUAGGAAAUGAUCUAACAGUGGUUUUUAACCUAAGGAAACACCUCACUAGAGAGUGCUUGGGCACAGGAGGUGGCAUUUUGGGUUGUCACAAAGAUGGGGAGGUGCUACUUGCAUUUCAUACAUAGGGGUUGUGGGGGCAGGGGCAGCUAGUGCUGUUACAGUGAUGAUGCAAUGCGGCCCCGUCCCAAGUGGGGUGGGGGGCACUGUCCUGCCCUAAAUGCCCACAACUCUCCCCACGCCGCUCUCCCACCCCAUUGAGAAGCAGUGGUUGGACCUACGCUCAGCAUUGUGCUCCCAGGCCCUCUCUGCGGGUUCAAACGCCUCUUGAUGUCCUCUUGGU
rnacentral:lncRNA from 1 species